GGGAAGGUGGCUCAGUGGUAGAGUGCUUGCCUUGCAUGCAUGAGGUCCUGAGUUUGAUUCCUCAGCACCCCA
rnacentral:tRNA from 1 species